rnacentral:rRNA from 1 species
UGGGGAAUUUUGGACAAUGGGCGAAAGCCUGAUCCAGCAAUGCCGCGUGUGUGAAGAAGGCCUUCGGGUUGUAAAGCACUUUUGUCCGGAAAGAAAUCCUUGGCUCUAAUACAGUCGGGGGAUGACGGUACCGGAAGAAUAAGCACCGGCUAACUACGUGCCAGCAGCCGCGGUAAUACGUAGGGUGCAAGCGUUAAUCGGAAUUACUGGGCGUAAAGCGCGCGCAGGCGGUUUGCUAAGACCGAUGUGAAAUCCCCGGGCUCAACCUGGGAACUGCAUUGGUGACUGGCAGGCUAGAGUAUGGCAGAGGGGGGUAGAAUUCCACGUGUAGCAGUGAAAUGCGUAGAGAUGUGGAGGAAUACCGAUGGCGAAGGCAGCCCCCUGGGCCAAUACUGACGCUCAUGCACGAAAGCGUGGGGAGCAAACAGGAUUAGAUACCCUGGUAGUCCACGCCCUAAACGAUGUCAACUAGUUGUUGGGGAUUCAUUUCCUUAGUAACGUAGCUAACGCGUGAAGUUGACCGCCUGGGGAGUACGGUCGCAAGAUUAAAACUUAAAUGAAUUGACGGGGUCAUAGCUGUUUCCU